GACGAACGCUGGCGGCGUGCUUAACACAUGCAAGUCGAACGAUGAAGCCUAGCUUGCUAGGUGGAUUAGUGGCGAACGGGUGAGUAAUACGUGAGUAACCUACCUUUAACUCUGGGAUAAGCCUGGGAAACUGGGUCUAAUACCGGAUACGACCAAUCUCCGCAUGGGGUGUUGGUGGAAAGCGUUAUGUAGUGGUUAUAGAUGGGCUCACGGCCUAUCAGCUUGUUGGUGAGGUAACGGCUCACCAAGGCGACGACGGGUAGCCGGCCUGAGAGGGUGACCGGCCACACUGGGACUGAGACACGGCCCAGACUCCUACGGGAGGCAGCAGUGGGGAAUAUUGCACAAUGGGCGCAAGCCUGAUGCAGCGACGCCGCGUGAGGGAUGACGGCCUUCGGGUUGUAAACCUCUGUUAGCAGGGAAGAAGAGAAAUUGACGGUACCUGCAGAGAAAGCGCCGGCUAACUACGUGCCAGCAGCCGCGGUAAUACGUAGGGCGCGAGCGUUGUCCGGAAUUAUUGGGCGUAAAGAGCUUGUAGGCGGUUUGUCGCGUCUGCUGUGAAGGCCGGGGCUUAACCCCGUGUAUUGCAGUGGGUACGGGCAGACUAGAGUGCAGUAGGGGAGACUGGAACUCCUGGUGUAGCGGUGGAAUGCGCAGAUAUCAGGAAGAACACCGAUGGCGAAGGCAGGUCUCUGGGCUGUAACUGACGCUGAGAAGCGAAAGCAUGGGGAGCGAACAGGAUUAGAUACCCUGGUAGUCCAUGCCGUAAACGUUGGGCACUAGGUGUGGGGGACAUUCCACGUUUUCCGCGCCGUAGCUAACGCAUUAAGUGCCCCGCCUGGGGAGUACGGCCGCAAGGCUAAAACUCAAAGAAAUUGACGGGGGCCCGCACAAGCGGCGGAGCAUGCGGAUUAAUUCGAUGCAACGCGAAGAACCUUACCAAGGCUUGACAUAUACUGGACCGCAUCAGAGAUGGUGUUUCCCUUCGGGGCUGGUAUACAGGUGGUGCAUGGUUGUCGUCAGCUCGUGUCGUGAGAUGUUGGGUUAAGUCCCGCAACGAGCGCAACCCUCGUUCUAUGUUGCCAGCACGUUAUGGUGGGGACUCAUAGGAGACUGCCGGGGUCAACUCGGAGGAAGGUGGGGAUGACGUCAAAUCAUCAUGCCCCUUAUGUCUUGGGCUUCACGCAUGCUACAAUGGUCGGUACAGAGGGUUGCGAUACUGUGAGGUGGAGCUAAUCCCUAAAAGCCGGUCUCAGUUCGGAUUGGGGUCUGCAACUCGACCCCAUGAAGUCGGAGUCGCUAGUAAUCGCAGAUCAGCAACGCUGCGGUGAAUACGUUCCCGGGCCU
rnacentral:rRNA from 1 species